rnacentral:rRNA from 1 species
CAGCAAGUCGACCAAAGGCGAAAGCAGUCAUCAAGGGCACGCCCGUUGAUCAAGAGCGAAAGUUAAGGGUUCGAAGACGAUCAGAUACCGUCGUAGUCUUAACUAUAAAUGAUGCAGGCCAGAGAUAGGAUACUGUCCAUCUCGACUCUUCCUGGAUCUUGGAGAAAUCAGAGUCUUUGGGUUCUGGGGGGAGUAUGGUCGCAAGGCUGAAACUUAAAGGAAUUGACGGAAGGGCACACAAAGAGUGGAACCUGCGGCUUAAUUUGACUCAACACGGGAAAACUCACCAGGUCCAGAUACACGCAUGAAAGUCAAGCUGAAAGACUUUACUCAAUGAUGUAAGUGGUGGUGCAUGGUCGUUCGUAGUUCGUGGAUUGAUUUGUCUGGUCUAUUCCGAUAACGAGCGAGACCCCAACGUUCCUAAUAGGGGGAGCAGCCCGGGCGGCCGAAAGGUCGUCUAGCAGCUCCCUGAGACUAGCUUCUUAGACGUAUCAGAGCCGAUAAGGUUCUUGAAAUGGGUUAAUAACAGGUCAGUCAUGCCCUUAGAUGUUCUGGGCCGCACGCGCGUUACAAUGGCAUGUAAAAAAAGUGCUGCAAAAGGUGUCCCCGGGGCUGAAAAGCCCUGGUAACCCUUAGUCCCUGCCUUGACUGGGACAGAUCAUUGCAAUUAUUGGUCUCAAACGAGGAAUUUUUAGUAAUCGCCGGUCAUUAACCGGCGAUGAAUGCGUCCCUGCCCUUUGUACACACCGCC